rnacentral:rRNA from 1 species
GAUGAACGUUGGCGGCGUGUUUAAGGCAUGCAAGUCGAGCGACGUGUCCCCGCAAGGGGAUUACGAGCGGCAAACGGGUGAGUAACACAUUGGUAACCUACCUCCGAGACGGGGAUAGCCCGCCGAAAGGCGGAUUAAUACCCGAUAGUCAUGAGGGGACGCAAGUCAUUCUCAUGUAAAUCUUUUUGGCUUGGAGAAGGGCCUAUGGUCUAUCAGCUAGUUGGUAGGGUAAAAGCCUACCAAGGCUAUGACGGAUACCGGGCGUGAGAGCGUGAUCCGGCUCACUGGGACUGAGAUACUGCCCAGACUCCUACGGGAGGCUGCAGUCGAGAAUAUUCCUCAAUGGACGAAAGUCUGAAGGAGCGACGCCGCGUGCAGGAAGAAGCCCCUCGGGGUGUAAACUGCUUUUAUAGGGGACGAAUUCGUGACGGUACCCUAAGAAUAAGAGGUUGCUAACUCUGUGCCAGCAGCAGCGGUAAUACAGAGACCUCAAACGUUAUCCGGAUUCAUUGGGCGUAAAGCGUCCGCAGGUGGUUUUGUAAGUUGGUGGUUAAAUCCUGAAGCUUAACUUCAGGACUGCUGUCAAAACUGCAAGACUUGAGGGUGGGAUAGGUAAUCGGAACUGCCGGUGUAGUCGUAAUAAGCGCUGAUAUCGGCAGGAACACCAAAGGCGAAGGCAGAUUACUGGAACACAUCUGACACUCAUGGACGAAAGCGUGGGGAGCGAAUAGGAUUAGAUACCCUAGUAGUCCACGCCCUAAACUAUGUGCACUAGGUAUUGGGAGUAUCGACCCUCUCAGUGCCGUUUAAAAAAGCUAACGCGUUAAGUGCACCGCCUGGGGAGUACGAUCGCAAGGUUAAAACUCAAAGGAAUAGACGGGGACCCGCACAAGUAGAGGAUCAUGCGGUUUAAUUCGACAGUACGCGGCGAACCUCACCAAGGCUUGACAUGUAGCUGCAAGCUCUAUGAAAGUAGAGCCGCCUUCGAGGGUGCUACACAGGUGCUGCAUGGUUGCCGUCAGCUCGUGCCGUGAGGUGUACCCUUAAGCGGGGUAACGAGCGCAACCCUCGUCUUGAGUUAAAUUUACUCGAGAGACUGCCUACGCAAGUAGGAGGAAGGGGAGGACGACGUCAAAUCAGCAUGGCUCUUACGCCUUGGGCGACACGCAUGAUACAAUGGCUGGUACAAAGGGUUGCCAAACCGCGAGGUGGAGCUAAUCCUAAAAAGCCAGUCGUAGUUCGGAUUGAAGGCUGCAACUCGCCUUCAUGAAGCUGGAUUUACUAGUAAACGCGCAUCAGCCACGGCGCGUUGAAUACGUUCUCGGGUCUUGUACUCACCGCCCGUCACACCACGAGAGUUGGUAGUGCCCGAAAGCUCUGUAUGGGGAAUAAGGUAAGAUCAAUG